GGAAAUGUUGGGUAAACUAAAAGAACAAGAGGCCCCAGUAGUUAAGAAGAGAAACAAGCUAUAUAGGAAGGAACUUGCUCUUGCCUUUCUUCUACUCACUGCAGCUGCAAGAAGCCUUUUAUCGGCACAUGGAAUUCAUUUCUACUACCUGCUGUUCCAAGGUUUGUCUUUCCUUGUUGUUGGAUUGGACUUGAUUGGAGAGCAGGUCAGCUGAAACAACAACCCCACAUAAAUUUCGUAAUUGUUUGAAUCUUAAUGUGUUUUGUUGUUGUUGUUGAUAUUGGUACUACAAUUGCAGAACUGAUUAAAUUCCCAGUUCUACAUCAUUAUAAGUUUCGAUUUGAACUGGAAUUGAGAGCACAAAUUAGUUAGGAACAUGUGUUGAAAUUAGCAUGUACCGGCACAUAUUAGAAGUUGAUUUUUUGAUUGUAUAAUUAUUAAUUACAAGUGAACACCAGUGUUUCAAAUAAUCAUGUACUCAUAUAAAAUGAAGCAAUUCUAAUA
rnacentral:lncRNA from 1 species